UGUGUAGGUGGAAUUGCAAGUCAGUGGUGAAAUCCUACGGCUUAACCGUAGAACUGCCAUUGAUACUGCUCUUCUUGAGUACUGGAGAGGUUACUAGAAUUCGUGGUGUAGCGGUGAAAUGCGUAGAUAUCACGAGGAAUACCAGAGGCGUAGGCGGGUAACUGGACAGAUACUGACACUGAGGCACGAAAGCGUGGGGAGCAAACAGGAUUAGAUACCCUGGUAGUCC
rnacentral:rRNA from 1 species